CGUCGACCGGCGCACGGGUGAGUAACGCGUAUCCAACCUGCCCAUCACUUGGGGAUAACCUUGCGAAAGUAAGACUAAUACCCAAUGACGUCUCUAGAAGACAUCUGAAAGAGAUUAAAGAUUUAUCGGUGAUGGAUGGGGAUGCGUCUGAUUAGCUUGUUGGCGGGGUAACGGCCCACCAAGGCGACGAUCAGUAGGGGUUCUGAGAGGAAGGUCCCCCACAUUGGAACUGAGACACGGUCCAAACUCCUACGGGAGGCAGCAGUGAGGAAUAUUGGUCAAUGGGCGAGAGCCUGAACCAGCCAAGUAGCGUGCAGGAUGACGGCCCUAUGGGUUGUAAACUGCUUUUAUAAGGGAAUAAAGUGAGUCUCGUGAGGCUUUUUGCAUGUACCUUAUGAAUAAGGACCGGCUAAUUCCGUGCCAGCAGCCGCGGUAAUACGGAAGGUCCGGGCGUUAUCCGGAUUUAUUGGGUUUAAAGGGAGCGUAGGCCGGAGAUUAAGCGUGUUGUGAAAUGUAGACGCUCAACGUCUGCACUGCAGCGCGAACUGGUUUCCUUGAGUACGCACAAAGUGGGCGGAAUUCGUGGUGUAGCGGUGAAAUGCUUAGAUAUCACGAAGAACUCCGAUUGCGAAGGCAGC
rnacentral:rRNA from 1 species